rnacentral:rRNA from 1 species
GCGCACCAGGCGCGAAAACUCCGCAAUGCGCGAAAGCGUGACGGGGUCACCCCGAGUGCCGUCCGCUGAGGAUGGCUUUUGCCUGGUCUAACCAGCCGGGUGAAUAAGGGGAGGGCAAGUCUGGUGUCAGCCGCCGCGGUAAUACCAGCUCCCCGAGUGGUUGGGACGAUUAUUGGGUCUGAAGCGUCCGUAGCCGGCCGGAAAAGUUCCCCGUUAAAUCUGGCGAUCCAAUCGUUGGGCUGCGGGGAAUACUCUUCGGCUUGGGGGCGAGGGAGGUCGGCGGUAGUCCCGGGGUAGGGGCGAAAUCCUCUGAUCCUGGGAAGACCACCAGUGGCGAAGGCGGGCGGCCAAAACGCGCUCGACGGUGAGGGGCGAAAGCUGGGGGAGCGAUCCGGAUUAGAUACCCGUGUAGUCC